UUGAUGUGGGUGAGAUUUCAGAAAAUAGUCCAGAUGACUGUGAAGGUUUAGAUGCCUCAGCAGCACAUAUUGCAAAUUUACUGUCAACAGAGCCUGCUGAUGUUAAAGUUGGUAUUGGAGGCUUCAGUAUGGGUGCCGCAACAGCGCUCCUACUCUGCAACUUGUGCUGCACUGGGACGAUAUGGAAAUGGCAAUCUGUACCCUAUCAAUCUCAGAGCAGUUGUUGGACUGAGUGGAUGGCUUCCAGGUUCAAGGGGCUUAAAGAACAAAAUAGAAGGAUCCCAUGAGGCUGCAAGGCGUGCAGCAUCCUUGCCCAUUUUGCUUUGUCAUGGAACAAAUGAUGAUGUAGCCCCCUAUAACUAUGGAGAGAAAUCUGCC
rnacentral:misc_RNA from 1 species